rnacentral:rRNA from 1 species
UACGGAGGGGGCUAGCGUUGUUCGGAAUUACUGGGCGUAAAGCGCACGUAGGCGGCUUUGUAAGUUAGAGGUGAAAGCCUGAUGCUCAACAUCAGAAUUGCCUUAAGACUGCAUCGCUUGAACGUCGGAGAGGUAAGUGGAAUUCCGAGUGUAGAGGUGAAAUUCGCAGAUAUUCGGAAGAACACCAGUGGCGAAGGCGGCUUACUGGACGACUGUUGACGCUGAGGUGCGAAAGCGUGGGGAGCAAACAGGG